ACCUGGCAGGUGAGACACUGUGCUCACAAAGGUGUUUUCACCAUUGAAAGACCCGUCUCUUGCACCUUGGGUGUGCUGACGCCUGCAACUUCCCCAAAUGUCGAAAACUUGGCUUCAUCUUUUGUGACAACGGGAAGCUCUGCUCAUGUUCUCC
rnacentral:snRNA from 14 species